AGGUAGGGUGGGAGGCAGCCUGCAAAGCCCACACAGCAAUUCCUGGGACAUGCAAGCAGUGACUAACUGUGACAGAGCUUUCACAUGGCAUGCUGUAGAAGAAAAACUGCUCCAAGUAACUUUUACCCGUGUCCCUGUUUGUACUAAGAAAAGGAGAGCUUGCCAAAGGACCAUAGUGUCCUUCAAACCGCUGGUAAAUCAAUGUGAUACGUGAGCAAAGAAAAUGGCAUGAUACAAGAUAAAUAAAGGCAGACUCUGUAAGAGCAAGAC